AAGGAUUAGCCCGCGUUAGAUUAGGUAGUUGGUGGGGUAAUGGCCUACCAAGCCUACGAUCUAUAGCUGGUUUUAGAGGAUGAUCAGCAACACUGGGACUGAGACACGGCCCAGACUCCUACGGGAGGCAGCAGUGGGGAAUCUUGGACAAUGGGGGCAACCCUGAUCCAGCCAUGCCGCGUGAGUGAUGAAGGCCUUAGGGUCGUAAAGCUCUUUCGCCUGUGAAGAUAAUGACGGUAGCAGGUAAAGAAACCCCGGCUAACUCCGUGCCAGCAGCCGCGGUAAUACGGAGGGGGUUAGCGUUGUUCGGAAUUACUGGGCGUAAACGCACGUAGGCGGAUCGGAAAGUUGGGGGUGAAAUCCCGGGGCUCAACCCCGAACUGCCUCCAAAACUAUCGGUCUAGAGUUCGAGAGAGGUGAGUGGAAUUCCAAGUGUAGAGGUGAAAUUCGUAGAUAUUUGGAGGAACACCAGUGGCGAAGGGGCUCACUGGCUCGAUACUGACGCUGAGGUGCGAAAGUGUGGGGAGCAAACAGGAUUAGAUACCCUGGUAGUCCACACCGUAAACGAUGAAUGCCAGUCGUCGGGUAGCAUGCUAUUCGGUGACACACCUAACGGAUUAAGCAUUCCGCCUGGGGAGUACGGUCGCAAGAUUAAAACUCAAAGGAAUUGACGGGGGCCC
rnacentral:rRNA from 1 species